rnacentral:lncRNA from 1 species
UCCUUUGGCCACAUGUAUAUGAAUCUACAAGAAAGGUGAUAUUAUAAACAUCAGGAAAAUGUAUACUGUUCAAAAAGGAACUGCCCCAUCAAUAUCACUAUGGCAAAAUAGGAGCUGUUCACAAUGUCACUUAGCAUGCUGUUACCACUACUGUAAACAAACAAUUGAAGGGAAGGAUUCUUGCCAAGAAAAUUAAUAUGCAUAUUGAGCAUAUUAAAUACUCUAAGAGUGAAGACAGCUUCCUGAAAUGGAUGAAGAAAAAGGGUCAAAAAAAAAAAAGAAGCCAAAGAGAGAGGCACUUGGGUUCAACUGAGGUACCAGCCUGCUCCACCAAGAGGAGCAUACUUUGUAAGGGCUAACAGAAAGGGGCCUGAGCUGCUCCAGCCA